CGCGGGGUGGAGCAGUUCGGUAGCUCGUCGGGCUCAUAACCCGAAGGUCGUCAGUUCAAAUCUGGCCCCCGCAA
rnacentral:tRNA from 1 species